AACAGUAACUGUGAGCUGUCCACGCGGGU
rnacentral:piRNA from 1 species